GACGAACGCUGGCGGCGCGCUUAACACAUGCAAGUCGAGCGAGAACCAGGCCUUCGGGCCUGGGGAAAGCGGCGAACGGGUGAGUAACACGUGGGUAACCCACCCUUGGUACCGGGAUAGCCCGAGGAAACUCGGAUUAAUACCGGAUGGCCCAAACAGCUUUUCGGAGCGGUUGGAAAAGGUAGCUUCGGCCUCCGACCAAGGACGGGCCCGCGGCGGAUUAGCUUGUUGGUGAGGUAACGGCUCACCAAGGCGACGAUCCGAGCUGGUCUGAGAGGACGAUCAGCCACACUGGGACUGAGACACGGCCCAGACUCCUACGGGAGGGCAGCAGUGGGGAAGUCUUGCGCAAUGGGCGAAAGCCUGACGCAGCGACGCCGCGUGGGGA
rnacentral:rRNA from 1 species